rnacentral:rRNA from 1 species
AUGCUACACGAAGAACCUUACCAACGGUUUGACAUGCAAGUGGUAGUGAUCUGAAAGGUGACCGACCCUUCGGGAGCUUGCACAGGUGCUGCAUGGCUGUCGUCAGCCCGUGUCGUGAGAUGUUCGGUUAAGUCCGCUAACGAGCGCAACCCUCGUCGUGUGUUAUACGUGUCACACGAUACUGCCGGUAUCAAGCCGGAGGAAGGUGGGGAUGAUGUCAAGUCAGCAUGGCCUUUAUAUCCUGGGCUACACACACGCUACAAUGGCAGAUACAAUAGGUUGCGAAACCGCGAGGUGGAGCCAAUCCUCAAAGUCUGUCUCAGUUCAGAUUGUAGGCUGCAACUCGCCUGCAUGAAGUUGGAGUUGCUAGUAAACGCAGGUCAGCUAUACUGCGUUGAAUACGUUCCCGGGGUUU